rnacentral:lncRNA from 1 species
CUGUUCCUUAGAGACCAGGACAAGGCAAAGGUGUAUGCUCAGGGAUAUAUGCUCAGUAACCCUCAUGCCAAACAGCCUGAGCUGUGUCCCUCAGUGCCUAAUUCCUGCCCUAGCAAGUUCCAGUUGGAACAAUUAUUUACAUUAGGGUUGUUUACAAUGCGAUUGCAGUUUCCAUUAGAGGGCAAAGCUUCUUUGCCUUUGGUCCUUAAGCUACAACGUACGAUUGUUUCGCAGUUGUCUUUUUUUAAAAAGAAAUGAAAAAUGUGAAUCUCCUAUAAUUGUAUUGCCAGUCCAGGGGGAAACUGAGUAUAUUUGAUGUUAAAUUCCAAUGUGACAAGUGUUACAUAGGGGUAUUCAGUCCAUGCAUGAUGUGGUUAACACAAUUAAUUGUGACAAAAUUAGACAUUAAGAUGAAAGAGAAAAAUUUGACCCAAAAAAUCAUUUACGUAACUGUGUGUAAAUUUGCCAUAUUUUAGUAGAGUGGCGAGAGGCAGCAGGGUCUCCAUUUGCAAAGUAAAUGUUGCAUGUGCAUUGCUUUCAUUUAGAAUGUAAAAUAAUCUUUCAUCCCAAAAUAUAUGUUGUGAUGAGAAUGCCCGACAACGAUAAAAAGUAAUUGAAAACAUUCAAUUGCAAAUGAUGCACUUUCUCCUUUGCUUUGGUUCUCUUUUUCAUUAACAAGCAAUUCAGCCACAGAGAGUCCCCUUACUUUACAGUCAG